UACGGAGGGGGCUAGCGUUGUUCGGAAUUACUGGGCGUAAAGCGCACGUAGGCGGCUUUGCAAGUUAGAGGUGAAAGCCCGGGGCUCAACUCCGGAAUUGCCUUUAAAACUGCAUCGCUAGAAUUGUGGAGAGGUAAGUGGAAUUCCGAGUGUAGAGGUGAAAUUCGUAGAUAUCGAGAGGAACACCGGUGGCGAAGGCGGCCUUCUGGACAGUGACUGACGCUGAGACGCGAAAGCGUGGGGAGCAAACAGG
rnacentral:rRNA from 1 species